UACGGAGGGUGCAAGCGUUGUUCGGAUUUACUGGGCGUAAAGCGCGCGCAGGUGGAUGGACAAGUCGGAAGUGAAAUCUUGAGGCUCAACCUCGAGGCUGCUCCCGAAACUGUUCGUCUAGGGACUGGUAGAGGCUGGUAGAAUUCCCGGUGUAGCGGUGGAAUGCGCAGAUAUCAGGAGGAACACCGAUGGCGAAGGCAGGUCUCUGGGCAUUAACUGACGCUGAGGAGCGAAAGCAUGGGGAGCGAACAGG
rnacentral:rRNA from 1 species